rnacentral:rRNA from 1 species
AGAGUUUGAUCCUGGCUCAGGAUGAACGCUGGCGGCGUGCCUAAUACAUGCAAGUCGAACGCUUUGUCUUUAAUUGAUCUGACGAGCUUGCUCUAAUUUGAUUUUAUCUGACAAAGAGUGGCGCACGGGUGAGUAACACGUGGGUAACCUACCUCUUAGCAGGGGAUAACAUUUGGAAACAAGUGCUAAUACCGUAUAAUACCAACAACCGCAUGGUUGUUGGUUGAAAGAUGGUUCUGCUAUCACUAAGAGAUGGACCCGCGGUGCAUUAGCUAGUUGGUAAGGUAACGGCUUACCAAGGCAAUGAUGCAUAGCCGAGUUGAGAGACUGAUCGGCCACAAUGGGACUGAGACACGGCCCAUACUCCUACGGGAGGCAGCAGUAGGGAAUCUUCCACAAUGGGCGCAAGCCUGAUGGAGCAACGCCGCGUGUGUGAUGGAGGGUUUCGGCUCGUAAAACACUGUUAUAAGAGAAGAACGGCACUGAGAGUAACUGUUCAGUGUGUGACGGUAUCUUACCAGAAAGGAACGGCUAAAUACGUGCCAGCAGCCGCGGUAAUACGUAUGUUCCAAGCGUUAUCCGGAUUUAUUGGGCGUAAAGCGAGCGCAGACAGUUAUUUAAGUCUGAAGUGAAAGCCCUCAGCUCAACUGAGGAAUGGCUUUGGAAACUGGAUGACUUGAGUGCAGUAGAGGAAAGUGGAACUCCAUGUGUAGCGGUGAAAUGCGUAGAUAUAUGGAAGAACACCAGUGGCGAAGGCGGCUUUCUGGACUGUAACUGACGUUGAGGCUCGAAAGUGUGGGUAGCAAACAGGAUUAGAUACCCUGGUAGUCCACACCGUAAACGAUGAGUGCUAGAUGUUCGAGGGUUUCCGC